ensembl:lncRNA
CGGAAAUUGUAUUUAGUGUGAUCUCAGUUUAAUUAAAACAUUGUAAGCCUACGUUAGGCCUAUUAAUUGUAAUGAUUUAAUGUCCACGGUUAUUCAAACAACAAAUUACAUAGAGAAAGCGAGCAAAGAACACAACGGAGCUUUUUGAAACUCCGAAUCAGUUAAACCAUUGCGUCGCAAAAUGAUUCACUGUUUCGAAGCGCUCCAAUCGGAUCGCGUAUCGCGAAUCAUUUGAUUCAGAUCUGGACGUCAGAGCGUGUAUCGCGAAUCAUUUGAUUCAGAUCGGGACUUCAAAGCGUGUAUCGCGAAUCAUUUGAUUCAGAUCGGGACGUCAGAGCGGGUUUGCAUGAUGUUUUUAUCCCCACCGGGGAUAAAAGUUAUUCAGCAGAGGCAGGGAUGCAUAGACCAGAGGGGGGGAAAUCCCCCCCAUCCCCCCCGGCAAAUCGCACCCUGU